UACGGGGGGAGCAAGCGUUGUUCGGAUUUACUGGGCGUAAAGGGCGCGUAGGCGGCGUGACAAGUCACUUGUGAAAUCUCCGGGCUUAACGUCGGAACGGUCAAGUGAUACUGUCGUGCUAGAGGUGCGGAAGGGGCUACUGGAAUUCUCGGUGUAGCGGUGAAAUGCGUAGAUAUCGAGAGGGAACACCUGCGGCGAAGGCGGGUAGCUGGGCCGACACUGACGGCUGAGGCGCGGAAAGCCAGGGGAGCGAACGGG
rnacentral:rRNA from 1 species